rnacentral:rRNA from 1 species
GUCUAUGGCCAUGCCACCCUGAACAAGCCCAAUCCCACCUGAUUUUGGAAGCUUAGCAGGGUUGGGCCUGGUUAGUACUUGGAUGGAAGACCAGCUAGGAAAAACAGGUGUCGUAGGUG